rnacentral:lncRNA from 1 species
GGAAAUCUUAUAGAUUUAGAAAGUAGUCUUCAAAUUUAGGGUUUCUUUUAAUAACUCAUAGCAAAGGAGACUAUGUACAUUCUACUUUUCAAGGCUAAUUCCCAAGAAAGAGAACUCCACAAACAAGUAAAAGAACCUUGAAAACAACUUUCCAGAAGCUUGUCAAAAGAAGAAUAAAGACUGACUGACAAAAAGAUAUGCAAACUGAAAUAAAAAAGAGAAGAAGCUGCUGAUGAACGGUUGAUCAUUUCAAGCAUCCCUCAAGAGCCGAAACAAAAACCCAACAAUCUUGAAUUUGUUAGAGCCGCAGGGAGAAGAAUCAUGGUCGAAGCCAUAAGCACUAGAGCAUGAGGAUGAACAUUUUGGUUCUUGAUAAGUAGCACUUGAAUCAGGCCAAAGAAAAGAACCCAUCGCAAACUCUCUCUUAUAACCCAAGUCACCAUUUAUAGGCAACCCGUAGUCAGCAAGAAGCCUGUCAAGCUGCCAUUCGGGCAUGUUCUCGUAAUCUUUCUUGGUAUAUCUUGGGUAGUGAACAGGCAUCUGAAAGUAACAAGCACCACCCUCUUUAUUCAUUUUCAUCUAUCUGUUUCCACACUGUCUAAAACCUGGGAUUUUGGUACUGAUAUUCUGCAAUUCUU